CAGUUUCCACUGUUCAUAAAACGGAAAAAAAAAACCUCUCUCGUCUUUCGUUGCAUAAACCCUAGUUCCCAUUCUCUAUCGUCGUCGUUGCCCAAAGCCACCGCCAACGAUCUUAUCUCCGUUCUCGGACCAUCCUACGCCGCGUCCUCCCUUAACCCGAUCAUAUCUCGAGAUAUCAAAUCGUGUCUCAGAUUCCUCGUCCCUUUCAAACCGGAUAAGCCUAAAUCCGAUUUCGGGCGAUGUUCGCUUCGUACUGGACUCUGUUCAGGUAAAAUCGAAGCCGUUGAGAGGCUGAGAAGGAUCUAUAAAGUAUGAUUUUGGCAAGUUUAUUCUACUUAUCUAAGAAGGAUCUAUAAAAUAUGUGAUUAUUGAUUCUCCUCUCAUGGCUAUCGUUGCUCCUCCUAAUAAACAAGAGAGUCUACCUCCUAUCAAAAAUCUCUAAUUUCGUCAUGCCCUCAUAGAUUCGAUAUGGUGUAAGCUUCUGUUUCCUCUCUCUAGAUCUAAGCAGGCAUACUCUCUCGCUCGAUUCUUCUACUUUAUUUAAGUCUAAAAGGUUUUAUCGGUUGAGUAAUUGAUGAAGAUCGAUUCAAGAAGUAAGUAAGUCUCCAGAUCUGAAGAAACUCCAAAAUAAGGGAGAUUCUUUGAAGAACAACGUUGAUUGCAGGAAGAAGCUAGUCCAAAGACUCUUGUUGGAUCAUAGUGCUGCUAAAGAUAAUCAUGAGAGAUGCAUCCUUACUAAGCUCAAGCAACAAUGUGGUGGACACUUUACUUCUAAGAUGAAGGGCAUGGCUUCAGGAAUUUGGACUUGUUUGUUCGAGGUACAGAUAAGAAGGAGAGAGCUGAACCCAAAACAUUGAGCCAGUUUAUGUACUUGUCUUGCGGAGGAAAUGGUGUGUCUUUAUGAGUGAUGACCAGUUUAUGUACUGAUUCAGAGAGUUAUAGACUUAUGUUUUCGGUUCUUCAUUUUUAUACAAUUUUGUUACAAUUCUGGUGUUACACGGCAGGCCAUGUUUUGGGUGCAGCCAUGUUUAUGGUAGAUAUAGCUGGUGUCUGUAUCCUCUACACUGGCGUAAGGACCCAAGAGAUACCAUCACGUUUACACUCUUCGUGACUAUGCUCAGUUCGAGAUGAAUUGUACUUUCAAAGUUAUGGCUGAUUUACGGUUAAGUUACGGCUGAGUUAUGAAUUACGGAGUUAUAAGAUGUUAGUACGUAUUCUUCUUUC